rnacentral:misc_RNA from 1 species
UCCUAAUACACACUGUCGAAAUCCCCGCGGCUCCCAAUAUGGCCUGUAUGAACUGUAAUCGGCCAACCUCGUCUCUUUCCGUAACAGCUGCAGAAAUGACCGCUCGUCAUUCGUGACCAACUCGUGUUAUUCCGGGACAAGCAAGUCUACCCAUAAUUCCCUGUAUGGCCGAGGGCGCCAUUUUGGAACACAAAUGUAAACAAACACUCAAACCUCGUGUAAUCGAUGUACACCAUGAUUGCGAUAUGCUUACCUCGUGUAUCGAUACAUUGUUCUCAGUCACCUCUAACACGGAAAUCCCGGUCGAAAUCCACAACGAGGACGUCAAGUAAACUCGAUUGACAGCCGAAGGAGGAGCAGCUUGCGGAUGCCAGAAUGUCCGGAUGAAUAAAAGAGACAGUCAUCUGUGCAGCAUCAAUGCAAUGAAAGACCAUAGAAGAGCAACAGUGAAACUGAAGUCCUGCUUGAGAUCCCUGGAUGAGUACUCCAGGUUGACAGUCUGGAAGGACCAGACAAGGGAGUCCUAAACAGAGGGUGCACCCCUUCAGAUAUCAGAGGUGAUUUGCAGACAGCGAUGACGAGGGUCCUGUUAUUUCAAUGGAGGCCGACCGAGAAGUUGUAUGCCAAAUGGUACUGGGACACACAAAGGCUGGUCUGCCUAAUGUGAGAAGACCAACCAAUGCCAAGCUGGAGUGGAAUUCUUCCAGGACAUUCAGGAAAUUCUUGUCUUGAGCCAUGUGGUAAACACUUGAAAGGAAUGAUCAGUCGGACUUAUUGUCUUCAAAUGUGGACCCAAACACCAAAUGGAAAGUUCACAAUUCUACUAACACAAUGCUGCAGAGAUAGAGUCCAACUGGUAUCCCCUCAUCCUGGUUCCUGUUCAUCCAUGACAAUAUAGAAAGAAAAGGAGGAUUGAGGGAAAGUAAGUUCUCUGAACUGGUGAACAUUAUCCGUAGGUACUGUCAAGCGAACAGUUAUCACACUCUGUUAUGAGUAUUGAAGAAUAGGAUGAAAUUGCAUACUGCAUCAGGAACCAUCAUGUGAACACUGUUCAAUGUGCGAUA